rnacentral:rRNA from 1 species
GCAGCGUGCAUAACACAUGCAAGUCGAACGAUGAAGCAUUCUUCGGAAUGUGGAAGAGUGGCGAACGGGUGAGGAACACGUAAGAAUCUGCCCCUCAGUCGGGGACAACCCUUGGAAACGAGGGCUAAUACCCGAUACGCUGUGGAGUGAAAGAAUUUCGCUGAGGGAUGAUCUUGCGUCUGAUUAGCUAGUUGGUGUGGUAAUGGCACACCAAGGCGACGAUCAGUAGCUGGUCUGAGAGGAUGAACAGCCACAUUGGAACUGAGACACGGUCCAAACUCCUACGGGAGGCAGCAGUGGGGAAUUUUCCGCAAUGGACGAAAGUCUGACGGAGCGACGCUGCGUGAAGGAUGACGGCCUGCGGGUUGUAAACUUCUUUUCUCGAAGAAGAAGCUCUGACGGUAUUCGAGGAAUAAGCAUCGGCUAACUCCGUGCCAGCAGCCGCGGUAAGACGGAGGAUGCAAGUGUUAUUCGGAAUGAUUGGGCGUAAAGAGUCUGUAGGCUGUAUGGAAAGUCUUUUGUUUAAUGCCUCGGCCUCACCGAGAU